rnacentral:lncRNA from 1 species
AUGGUGUGGGCGGCACGGGGUGCGUGGUCUCCUGCGGUGGGUGGUGUGGGCGGCACGGGGUGCGUGGUCUCCUGCGGUGGGUGGUGUGGGCGGCACGGGGUGCGUGGUCGCCUGUGGUGGGUGGUGUGGGCGGCACGGGGUGCGUGGUCGCCUGUGGUGGGUGUGCGGGGCCUUCUGUGAGGCAGGACAGGCUCUACAUGCACUUCGGCUUCUUGGCAGAUCUGAGCGAAUGAGAACUGCCCUGGGCUUCACUCCCGUUUAACUUUGCAUGAAGAAGAAUGUUCUCCACUCUGACUUUAAGCCAAGUGCUUGUCUAAGUGCUUCUCUGACAGGGAGACAACACUCCUUCCCCGGAGCCUUCCACUGGGCCUGGACAUCUCCCGUCUCUGGGCUCUGAGUUAACUUUGUGAUGCCAGCUCUUUGUGGGGUGUGCGCACGGCUGCAGGUGAGGAGACCUGUGAGAGUCGGAAGCCAGCUGCCACCCCAAAUGAUAAGCACAUUGUAGCUGUCUCUGCAUGGCUUCGUUGCAUGAGGAAAGUCACUACUGUCAAUGCAGGGCUGCUGGUCUCCACCUCGGAACGUGGCAGUGCACAAUCCAUCACUGCCCUGUGUUCGCAGGUCACAGAGAAAAGAAAUGCUUUCUCUAUUCCUUCUCGCAGUUAGUAUUUUGUGAUUAUAGAAAAACUGUGCGUAGUUGGAAGUAGGGAAGGGAAGGAGGGAGGGAGGAAGAAAAACAGAAAGAAAAUAAACCAAAAGAAAAAGAAGGAAGAAACCACCGUAUUUUCAGUUUGCUUCGAAUUAUUAAAGUGGCUCAGGGAAAAAACUUUAAUCUGAAAAUAGUGGCCAACACGAGACAGGACGCCGAUUGCUGCGUGAGUAAGAGGAAGCACCGCAGACCACCGCCGACGAAAUUCUGGAUUUUUUGAGGAGGGAUUUCCUGAAGCGGGUGUUGAAUAUGGGCAUGAAGCCACGAGGCUGAAUCUAGAUGUAUGUUUCACGUUUCUCACAAGAGCUGAUGUUGGUUUUUGAUUGCAAAAGAUGCCCAUUGCAGAAAAACAAAAACAUAUGUGUCAUGAGGAGCCUCAGAAACCUCCCCAAGCCCUCCACACAGAAGUGAUUGUGAGUGCCGCUCCAGACCUCGCCCUAUGGGAUCUAUAGGACCUGUAGACCUAUAGCUGCCUGUAUGAUCCUGUGGGUACAAUCUCCUAAUGUAGGGGGGCUCGGUGUUUGCUGGAUGAGAGCGUGUUCUGUCGGCAGGUGGCAUCCAGUUCUACGGGGUCCUCUGUGGAUGCUAGGGUGCCCGGGAACCAGCAGUUCCACGUUGCAUUUUCCUGGAUGUCCGAGCAGAGCACCCGGGUCAGGCGAGUUCCCAGAAGCUCCUUGCCUUCUCUUCCCUGCAUCAGGAAGGCUGGGGAGGGCGGCUCUGGAUCCUGAGGGGAAGCCACUCGGAUCUCCUGCAGCUGCUCAAGACCACGGCACUGUGACUGUGCUUGCCCAUCUGGAAAGCCUCAGGCGUGCAGGAGCUUGGCUGGGCUCCACAUUUGGACACAGAACCUGCUCCAUCUGAGCUCGUGGCUCUUGGUCAGCCCAGGCUCAGGGAGCCUCUCGACGGGGUGGAAUUUUGGGUUUCACCCACUUGGCUGAUGCUUCCUGCCCUGUGUAAUUGAAUCAAUCCUUUACGUAAAUGCUGUUUCGUAACUGCCCGGGCUUUUCAGGGCCUCUGGGCCCUGGCUGAAAACCUAACUCAGCUCCUGCCUGGGAGGCUUUGCGCGGCAGGCCUGGCUGGUGGGAGGGUUUGGUGCCAGAGGCAUCCGUCGGGUGAGGAGCAGGACCUCCCACGGUGAACAUGGUGGCCACGUCCCCGCAGAGCCCAGCCUACUGAGCUGUCCAGUGAACCCUUGUGCACUUAAGCUAAAACACGCAGCCGUGCCCCCAGGAGGCCGCUUAACACAGAGCAAUAGCCGGGUCCUCGACGAUCCAGCUGCAGAGACAUCACCAAUCCCAGUCUCCCUGGUUCCCGCGUCAGCCUCGCCCUGCCCUGGGCCACGGCUGCACAGCACGUGCCUCCUCACCAACACCACGCGUCACACUCUGCAAGCCCCCGGCCCCUCCACGUGCGAAAGGGGGCUGCUCCUCAGGGUUCUUUGGGCUGUAAGGGUCCCGCCGUCCCCCAGUUUUUGUUGGACAUCUGUGAAGCCCAGCCUUUCCAAGCAGAUGCUGUCCCUCCGCUCCAGCCAGUUCCUCCAGAUGAGGCCAAUGUGUUCCCAAGCAUGUCGGGUCACAUUUCCUGUGUGUUUUGGUCCUGCAAGCAGGACUCUCAUGAAAAUGGCAGAAAGGUCGUCAAACAGCUCCCCUCUUCGCCGCGGCCGUCACAGAUGGAGCUGGAGGCACACGCAUGUGUAUGGCACAAAUGGCCACAUUUGGUUCUGAGAAGCCAUCGCAGAAACUCAAGGGCUGAGGAAGCCAGGCCCUGGCAUUAGAUCUGAUGCAUGAGGGAGAGGCUCAGCAAAGCAGAGGAUGAGUCCCGAGGCCUCGUUUCCUCCAGAAAACCCAUCCCUCCUGCCUGCACCCUCCAGGCUGCUGAACACACCUGCCCAUGACCGCCUGCCCCGGCACUGCCUCGCCGCCCCUCCUCAAGUCUCUCCUUCCUGAGGCAUAAUUUCUGCUUUAGCACAGGGUGGCCCAUGGGGCCCUGCUGGAGUCUAUGUCCGGGAGGGAGCAGACCUCAUGUCCGUUUCCCACACACCCUGCAAGCACCCAUCAAGGCAUCCAGCUGUAACCUGGUACCGAAUAAAUGCUCGACUCCUUCAGAAUCCAUGUUUACUAGGGGGUUAGGUAUAAAAUAAUCGCAGGUAAUAAUCUCAUAGAGUCAAAACUGCCCUUGAGAAUUCCUUAAGAGCCACCAAUCACAGCCUCAAGUUGCAUCUCAACCAUCACAGGAGGCAGUGACCCCCAGGCGGGACCAGAGGCCUUCUCCCAGGAACAUGGUCAGCAGAAGACACUGCCUCCAAACUUCAAAUUCAGGCCCAACACAGGAACACACAGCAGAGGCGCAGCUGAACUGCAUGGAUGGUGCGACUGUGGCCACGCUCCCAGAGCAACACACGGACCCUCCAGGGAGACAGGAGCAGGUACUAGGAGCUCAGAGGGCAGUGCUACAGCCACAGAGGGUGUCACCAAGAAUUAGCAGCGAGAGACCAUCACUCUGUAGGCCAAGCCUGCGCUGAUGCAGGCCGGGGUUUCUCCGCGUUGGCACAGUGGACGCUCUGGGCUGGAUAACCCUUCAUUUCAGGGGGUCUUGAGCACAGCAUGUGUUCCACGCAUCCCUGGCCUCUGCCCACCAGAUGCCAACAGCAUGUCCACUGUCACGAUCGAGUCUCCAGAUGGGGCCCGAUGUGUCAGGGUGGGGGGCGCCCACUGAGGCUUCUGCUUGGCCUUGGGCACCGUGAGGCCCUUUCACUGGGUUGACGGGAGCACUGACCAUUCCAGCCCUGCCUGGGUCCCCACUGGCUCUGCUGACCCCUGGAGCUUCUUCCUCAACCCUGAGCUAUUUCCUCAGUUUGCACCCAGCCUGGGGACCCACCUCGGACCCCUGGACCCGCCCUUGGAGCUCGCCAUUCUUGACAAUGAAAAUUUAGCCUCUGUCCUCUCCGAACUGUGACCUCUGUCCCCCAAAUGGGUCGAACCCCUUCCUGCACUGUGACCUCCGGGCGGGAAGUCAACAGCUUGUCCCCUCCUGGCUGGAACCUCCCUGAGGGCCCCUGCCCUGUGCUGCCUGCUGCCCAGAAGCCGCGUGGAUUCCGGUCCUGAGUUGUUUAAAGCAGGGGCGCAAAGCCAGUCCUCAUCACCCCAUCAUGGCUAGAAGAGGGAAUGUUUAAACAGACGAUGUUUCAUCAAGAAUGUGGGUAAAAUAGUUUGGUCUAUUGUAUUUCAUAGUGUUAGAAAACCAACUUGACUUUAACAAAAAUAAUUAGCUUGGCAAUUAUCACCC